AUUGAACGCUGGCGGCAGGCCUAACACAUGCAAGUCGAGCGGAUGAAGGGAGCUUGCUCCUGGAUUCAGCGGCGGACGGGUGAGUAAUGCCUAGGAAUCUGCCUGGUAGUGGGGGAUAACGUCCGGAAACGGGCGCUAAUACAGCAUACGUCCUGAGAUAGAAAGUGGGGGAUCUUCGGACCUCACGCUAUCAGAUGAGCCUAGGUCGGAUUAGCUAGUUGGUGGGGUAAAGGCCUACCAAGGCGACGAUCCGUAACUGGUCUGAGAGGAUGAUCAGUCACACUGGAACUGAGACACGGUCCAGACUCCUACGGGAGGCAGCAGUGGGGAAUAUUGGACAAUGGGCGAAAGCCUGAUGCAGCCAUGCCGCGUGUGUGAAGAAGGUCUUCGGAUUGUAAAGCACUUUAAGUUGGGAAGAAGAGCAGUAAGUUAAUACCUUGCUGUUUUGACGUUACCAACAGAAUAAGCACCGGCUAACUUCGUG
rnacentral:rRNA from 1 species